ACUAUGCCUAGUCGUAAACUUUAAUCUACUCCCACAUCGCCCGGGAACUACGAGCUAAGCUUAAAACCCAAAGGACUUGACGGUACCCCAUAUCCCCCUAGAGGAGCCUGUCCUAUAAUCGAUAACCCCCGUUUAACCUCACCAUUUUUUGCCAGUCAGCCUGUAUACCUCCGUCGUCAGCUUACCACGUGAGCGUCAGUGAGCCUAAUGUUUCUCCAACUACACGUCAGGUCAAGGUGCAACAUAUAAAAUGGGAAGAGAUGGGCUACACUUUCUACCAUAGAAUAAACGAAAGACUAAAUGAAACCUAGUCAGAAGGCGGAUUUAGCAGUAAAAUGAAACUAGAGCGUUCACUUAAAUGCGGCACUGGGGUGUGUACACACCGCCCGUCACCCUCCUCAACUCUGCAUAAAAGUUUUUAACACCUUCCCAGAGACUCAGAAGAGGCAAGUCGUACCAC
rnacentral:rRNA from 1 species